GUGCCUCUUGAUGGUCUUGUGUGCUUCACUGGAGUCCAAGCAGCGUUUUGGCCCUGCGAUGGUCUCACCCGUUGGAAAAGCUGAGGUUACAAAUCUCAUGCAGUGCUUGCACCUUCUCUGGACAGCUGAAACAGCUCUCAGUGCUAUGGCUACGUGUCCAUCCGUAGCAAAAAAAAAGCGCCUUUGGGACAGCAUUGGUUGUAUGCGAGGAGCUCCAGGGCACCCAAUGUCAAAAUAUUCCUGUCCUGCACAGACUGUGUGGUGCCUUACUCACUGAUGGUGCUUUGAAGAGCAGGAGCUGUACUUUGGUGACACAAGAGAGUGCAAAGUGGCUGAAGGUGUCCGUCCGAUGGGAGAUCCAAGCUCCAGGAGAGGAAAAUCAGGCCAGAAAGAGAGAAGAAAAAAGGCCUACAGAAAACCCCGACCUUUGCUACAACCAGCUGUGAUUGGAGGCUUUCCAAGCCUGAGUGAGCUGGGUGAGGUGGAAGGGAGGCGUGUUCCCUCUAAGAGCCCUUUCCCUGGAGAGCCCAGGCAAUGGAUGCCACAGCCAAGGCGCCGUUUGAAGCAGCCUGGGCAGCUGGUUAAAACUGGGAUCUGUGUCCCAGAAGUUGCAUCCACCUUGCUGUAGUAUUUCGAAAAUACCUGGAUCCUGAGGCUGUGAAAGCAGAGCUUGGAAAGCAAUGCUCGGGGAAGGCUGCUAAUGACCUGGAAGAUGACUGAUACUUAUCCUCACUGAAUUGGCAGUAAAUGUGAAAGAGAUAACUGCAUCUUGAUUUUAACAAAUUCUUUAGAUUUCCAUCUCCACGAGCGCAGGGUUAGAUUCCUACUGUGCACACAUCUUUUUUAGCUCUCAGACAUCCAUGCACAGCUCCACUCAGGUGAGAAGGGGCAAGAGAGAUGUGGAGUGGUCCCAGCAGCAGAUGCUGCUGCACAGCAGACUUUAUCUCUUCUGCUCACGCCAUUCAGCAUACUUCUCUCUCUGUUAUGACUGGGAAGUGGCUCAGAUGUAUCUGGGAGCAAAGCAGGCUGCAAGCAGUAUAAGCUACACUGGAAAAAGGCACCUUUAUUUUGGGUUAAAAAAAAAGAGAAAAGAGGAAAGAAAAAUCUGCAGAGGGAUUUAACUCUAGAGGGUUCAUACAGCUAAAAAAUGUCCCUGUUUGAGUCAAAGCUUGAAAACCUGGUAAAGCUGGACACAGUGAAGGGAAUGAUGUGCGAAAUGCAGAGGGGAUGUGUAGGGAAGGAGACAGAUUUGCAGAGGUGGCUAUGCAGCAGGGGGGCAAGGAAACCCAGUAAAGGGCUAAAAGCAUGCAUGGCAAAGCCAGGGCAGUGCUGGCUGGGGAACAAUGCAUGACGUACGUCUUUUGGGGCACAGGAAAGAAAGCCAGGAGGAACUACAGCAUGCAGCACGUUUUUCUGAGCUCAGCUUUUGGUGAGCAUCAAUGGGCUCAGAAACAGUCCCAUGGCCCAAGGCAGUGCACAAGGAAUUACUGAAGAGGGACAGGUGGAGGGUGCGUGGGUCAUGGGCACGGGAAGGAGCAGAAAGAUGCAGCAAUAGGGACCCGUGGCUGCAGACACCUGCUGUGCAGCACCUGCAGAAGCUGAGCUGGAAAUACCCAUCCCAUCCAUGGAGAGAAGAUGGAGCUGAAGUAAUUCUGGUAGGUACUGUCAUGAAAAUACUGUUCAGGUCACCAUAACUAAUGUCCUUCUUUUAGGGGAGGGCUGUCACUGGGAGACGAAGGGUGCCCGAAGCCAAGACCGAGGCACGGUUGUGUAUGUGCAUGCAUGAAGCUUGCACGGAAUCAGCCAAAGGCUCACGUUGAGUCCCGUUCCUUCAGACUCAUUUUGAGGGACAUUUUUUCUCUGUUUAGACCAAAGACCAGGCUAUCCCUUAAAAACUACCCUAUCCCACGCAGCUCCGCAGACGGCUGUCUCCUGCAAUCAGAUCAGGACUGGCAA
ensembl:lncRNA